ensembl:lncRNA
GGGAUGGCACGGGCAAGAAGCUGGCACUUAUUGAGCACUCACUGUAUGUCCAGCACUUUGCCAACACUUAAUCUGCAUUAUCUCCCUCAGCCCCCCCCGCAUGAUGUGGAAGUAGAGAUGAUCUCGUUUAUUGCUAGGAUUCAGAACACUGACCCAUUUGUUCCAGCAAGCUGCAGCCAGGAAGCCGCCUUCAGCUCUGCCAGCAGAGAAAGAGGGAAGGAAGGGGUGUAGCCACCAUGCUGCCCCCUGCGACACUGCUCAGAGAUUUUUCUAAGGCCCAGAAUGGAAGUACUGCGAUUUCAUCUCUGCUGUUCUUUGCCGUGGCCCCAGGGCCUUGAAAGUGCCUGGCACACGAUGGUGUGACCCUCACGGGCGGAACCCUGGAGGAUGUCGUACAUCCCAGAAAACCCACUACACCUCCGCCUCAUAGAGAGGAAGUUGAAAACGCAUCGAUCUCUGUGACCAAGGUUAGCCAAGCAGCAGUUCGCUGUACGAAUAAAUGUCUGGAAGCUCAUGGCCACCACUCUGAGCACCUCUUGUAAUGGUAGAGGCCAAAGGUAACUUGUAUUAACCUCAUGAUGGCUCAAUAAAUUUCAUAUUAAAAC